rnacentral:rRNA from 1 species
UUGGAGGGCAAGUCUGGUGCCAGCAGCCGCGGUAAUUCCAGCUCCAAUAGCGUAUAUUAAAGUUGUUGCAGUUAAAAAGCUCGUAGUUGAAUUUCGGGGUUAGUAGGUUGGUCAUGCCUCUGGUAUGUACUGGUCUCACUGAUUCCUCCUUCCUGAUGAGCCGUAAUGCCAUUAAUUUGGUGUUGCGGGGAAUUCGGACUGUUACUUUGAAAAAAUUAGAGUGUUUAAAGCAAGCUAACGCUUGAAUACAUUAGCAUGGAAUAAUGAAAUAGGACGUUUGAUUCUAUUUUGUUGGUUUCUAGGAUCGACGUAAUGAUUAAUAGGGAUAGUUGGGGGCAUUAGUAUUCAAUUGUCAGAGGUGAAAUUCUUGGAUUUAUUGAAGACUAACUACUGCGAAAGCAUUUGCCAAGGAUGUUUUCAUUAAUCAAGAACGAAAGUUAGGGGAUCGAAGACGAUCAGAUACCGUCGUAGUCUUAACCAUAAACUAUGCCGACUAGGGAUCGGAUGAUGUUAUUUUUAAUGACUCAUUCGGCGCCUUACGGGAAAC